rnacentral:rRNA from 1 species
AACGAACGCUGGCGGCAGGCUUAACACAUGCAAGUCGAGCGCCCCGCCAGGGGAGCGGCAGACGGGUGAGUAACGCGUGGGAACGUACCUUUUGGUUCGGAACAACUCCGGGAAACUGGAGCUAAUACCGGAUAAGCCCUAACGGGGAAAGAUAUAUCGCCGAAAGAUCGGCCCGCGUCUGAUUAGCUAGUUGGUGAGGUAACGGCUCACCAAGGCGACGAUCAGUAGCUGGUCUGAGAGGAUGAUCAGCCACACUGGGACUGAGACACGGCCCAGACUCCUACGGGAGGCAGCAGUGGGGAAUAUUGGACAAUGGGCGCAAGCCUGAUCCAGCCAUGCCGCGUGAGUGAUGAAGGCCUUAGGGUUGUAAAGCUCUUUUGUCCGGGAAGAUAAUGACUGUACCGGAAGAAUAAGCCCCGGCUAACUUCGUG